AUCUAUCACCAAUCCUCACCAUUGCUUCUUCAAGUUGACAAAUUCAGAUUAUUUACUUCACCAUCUUCCUCCCAACCACUGAUUUUAACUCCCAAAUUUCCACUAUAAAUAGCCAUGGAAAUUCAACAUUAAGAACUCACCAACAACAACCUUCAUCCUCUCUUCUCCCUCUAAAUCAGAAACUCAGUCAAUAAUCACCGGAAAAUUGUAACUAAAAGAAAAGAAAAGAAAAGAGAAAACCCCAAAUUCAUAAUCUCUCUCCUCUGUUUCGGACCCCACACAACCGACCACCGCGGCCACCGGGCGCGCCACCUGUGCCGCGAUCAGUCCCGCCCUCACCUCGUCGUCGCUCGCCGGCCGCCUCGCACGUCACUCGCCGGAGACCGCCGCGCCAGCAGUUAUCUCUCUUUCCUCGCGCUGUCUCUCUCGCCCCUCUUUUUCUUCGCGCGACGCUGCUGCACGCGCAGCACUGCCGAUGACCCGCGCGCCCACCGCCGGAGAUCGACGCUGCUGCUGGUCGCGCCGUUCACCGGAGCCGGCAUCCCACCUCUGCCGGAAUUGUUGUCCUCCCUGCUCCUAGUAGCAGAGAUUAAAGAAGAUAAAGGAUAUUACAAGCCUCCCCCGGCUAUCAUGUUGGUAAGCAGGAAUUCAGGUAUGGGAGAACAGUUGUGGAUCACGAUUAUAUUGCGUUAUGGAGAUUAUGUAUGAUUCAUGAGCUUUUAAGAUACUUUGUAUAAUGGAUAAACAAGUAUUAUCUUGCGAUGAGUAAUUGUAUAGUAAAUUUUAAAUUUUAGGCUACUAUUUUAUUUGUGGGCCAUAAUCCACAGGAUUAAGUUAUGCUUCCGCUGACGAUUAAGGUUAUGUAAAUUUGUCGGGGCGUUA